UACGUAGGGUGCGAGCGUUAAUCGGAAUUACUGGGCGUAAAGCGUGCGCAGGCGGUUUUGUAAGCCAGAUGUGAAAUCCCCGGGCUUAACCUGGGAAUGGCAUUUGGGACUGCAAGGCUUGAGUGCGGCAGAGGAGACUGGAAUUCCUGGUGUAGCAGUGAAAUGCGUAGAUAUCAGGAGGAAUACCGAUGGCGAAGGCAGGUCUCUGGGCUGACACUGACGCUCAUGCACGAAAGCGUGGGGAGCGAACAGG
rnacentral:rRNA from 1 species